rnacentral:lncRNA from 1 species
CUCUACCUUGCUCUAGCACCACAUUAUUAAAUGGAGAUAACAAUAUUUAUGCCCUUCCCAAGGGGUAACAGGGAUGGACAGCUCUCCUGGGUUGGGCCUGCUUGGAUGAGGAAGUGACAAGAAGUGGGGAAACAGGGAUUUAUGUGUGAGCGAACAGCAGGCAGCUGUCUCCUCGGCAGCGGCUGCCACCGGGAACUACAAGGCAACGUGAAGCCUGCGCUAGAAAAACCCCUCCUGGGCCGGUCCUGCAAGCAGCCAAGAUGCGGUUAAAGAUUCCAAUUCUGAUGGGAUCCCAUGUCUCCUAGGUUACAGCUGAGGACUGUGUUUUCCUUUAUUACAACAGAAAAUGUGUGUUCCCCAGGGACUGUUCAAACAUCUGUAUGAGCAUUUCAGGCCCACCCAGACAAACCAG